rnacentral:rRNA from 1 species
UCACCUCCUUUACCCGGCUCAGAAUCAACGCUGGCGGCGCGCCUAACACAUGCAAGUCGAACGAGAAAGUAGCAAUCCAUGAGUACAGUGGCGUACGGGUGAGUAACACGUGGGUGAUCUACUGAGGAAUAACCUCUUAGCCUGGGAAACCGGGGCUAAUACCGCAUAAGCCUGAGAAGGGAAAGCAGCAAUGCGCUGAGAGAGGAGCCCGCGGCCGAUUAGCUAGUUGGUCCAGUCGGAGGUAAGAGCCCACCAAGGCAGAGAUCGGUAGCCGGCCUGACACGGCCACACUGGCACUGAAACACGGGCCAGACUCCUACGGAGCAGUGGGGAAUCUUGCACAAUGAGGCGGGGGAAACCCUGAUGCAGCGACGCCGCGUGAGCGAUGAAGCCCUUCGGGGUGUAAAGCUCUUUCGUCAGGGAAGAUUAUGACGGUACCUGGAGAAGCAGCUGCGGCUAACUACGUGCCAGCAGCCGCGGUAAUACGUAGGCAGCAAGCGUUGUUCGGAGUUACUGGGCGUAAAGGGUGUGUAGGCGGUUCUUUAAGUUUGGUGUGAAAUCUCCCGGCUCAACCGGGAGGGUGCGCCGAAUACUGAGGGACUAGAGUGUGGGAGAGGAAAGUGGAAUUCCUGGUGUAGCGGUGAAAUGCCAGGAGGAACACCGGUGGUGUAGACGGCUUUCUGGACCAUAACGCUACAAUUGACGCUGAGACACGAAAGCGUGGGUAGCAAACAGGAUUAGAUACCCUGGUAGUCCACGCCCUAAACGAUGCAUAUUUGGUGUGGGUCAUUCAGUUGAUCCGUGCCGGAGCUGGAACGCGUUAAAUAUGCCGCCUGGGGAACAGUCGCAAGGCUGAAACUCAAAGGAAUUGACGGGGGCCCGCACAAGCGGUGGAGCAUGUGGUUCAAUUCGACGCAACGCGAAGAACCUUACCUGGGCUCGAACGGCUGGUCAACGCCGGUAGAAAUACCGGUACCCCGCAAGGGGGUAGGUGCUGCAUGGCUGUCGUCAGCUCGUGUCGUGAGAUGUUGGGUUAAGUCCCGGAGGGCACAACGAGCGCAACCCUUGUCCUGUGUUGCCAUCAUUCAGUUGGGAACUCGCAGGAGACCGCCAGCGAUAAGCUGGAGGAAGGUGGGGAUGACGUCAAGUCCUCAUGGCCUUUAUGUCCAGGGCUACGUAGAUAUACACGUGGACGGUACAAACCGCAGCAAACCCGCGAGGGGGAGCCAAUCGGAAAAAACCGUUCUCAGUUCGGAUUGCAGGCUGCAACUCGCCUGCAUGAAGCUGGAAUCGCUAGUAAUGGCAGAUCAGCACGCUGCCGUGAAUACGUUCCCGGGCCUUGUACACACCGCCCGUCACAUCACGAAAGUGGAUUGUACUAGAAGUCUGCAGGCUGACCCGUAAGGGGGGCAGCGGCCCAAGGUAUGAUCCAUGAUUGGGGUGAAGUCGUAACAAGGUAGCCGUAGGAGAACCUGCGGCUGGAGAGUUUGAUGU